rnacentral:rRNA from 1 species
UACGUAGGGUGCGAGCGUUGUCCGGAAUUAUUGGGCGUAAAGAGCUUGUAGGCGGUUUGUCGCGUCUGCUGUGAAAAUCCGGGGCUCAACCCCGGACUUGCAGUGGGUACGGGCAGACUAGAGUGUGGUAGGGGAGACUGGAAUUCCUGGUGUAGCGGUGGAAUGCGCAGAUAUCAGGAGGAACACCGAUGGCGAAGGCAGGUCUCUGGGCCACUACUGACGCUGAGAAGUGAAAGCAUGGGGAGCGAACAGG